CCUACGGGAGGCAGCAGUGGGGAAUUUUCCGCAAUGGGCGAAAGCCUGACGGAGCAAUACCGCGUGAGGGAAGACUGCCUAUGGGUUGUAAACCUCUUUUUUCAGGGAGGAAUAAAAUGACGUGUACCUGAAGAAUAAGCAUCGGCUAACUCCGUGCCAGCAGCCGCGGUAAGACGGAGGAUGCAAGUGUUAUCCGGAAUCACUGGGCGUAAAGCGUCUGUAGGUGGUUUAAUAAGUCAACUGUUAAAUCUUGAGGCUCAACUUCAAAACCGCAGUCGAAACUAUUAGACUAGAGUAUAGUAGAGGUAAAGGGAAUUUCCAGUGGAGCGGUGAAAUGCGUAGAUAUUGGAAAGAACACCGAUGGCGAAAGCACUUUACUGGGCUAUUACUAACACUCAGAGACGAAAGCUAGGGUAGCAAAUGGGAUUAGAUACCCCAGUAGUCCUAGCCGUAAACUAUGGAUACUAGAUGUUGAACAGAUCGACCUGUGCAGUAUCAAAGCUAACGCGUUAAGUAUCCCGCCUGGGAAGUAUGCUCGCAGAGUAGAACUACAAGAAGUAGUACGGACGUGAGACGUGCGACGGACGACGACGAGGAGUAGG
rnacentral:rRNA from 1 species